rnacentral:lncRNA from 1 species
GGGGGCCUCCCGGGAGGCGCUUGGAAAACGCACCCACUGAAAGUUGCAGGGUUUUGGACCCUCCCGGGGCAUGGGGCACAGACAGCCCUGGGCCUUCCGGGGUCCUGCCUGCCACUCCCAGUGGCCAGGACAGGCCCCAGCAGCCAGGGGUGGGGGUGGGAGCCAGGCCUUUGCGGCUGGGUCCCCCAGGUGCGGGGGUGGGUGUGCUCCGGGGCGUCCCUGGGGCCUCCAGACAGACCCAGGCCCCUGGCAGAGGCAGGACCUACAUCGUGGGUCCCACCCCCGCCACAGCUUGAGGGGUCGCGGGAGGCAGGAUGGCCUGGCUCCCCUGCACUGCCCGCCCUCCGGAUUAUUCUUAGGUCUGUUGUGUAACAGGCCCGCAUCCACGGCACGGGGAGGAAGGGCUCCUGGGAGAUGUCUCCAGCAGCCGCCAGCCAGCCGGGAGCGGAGCUUUUGUCACUUCUGCUGCCCAGCACAAAGGGACAAAGGAGGCUGCCUGGCCACCCAGCCCAGCCCAGGCUGUGCAGAGGGGCUCGGGGCCAGCGGGCGCUUGCUCCCUGGGGAACAUCUGGCUUGGGUCUCCCAUAACCUCCAGCCCCCGCAGCCGAGAGAGACAGUGUGUGUGUGUGUGUGUGUGUGUGUGUGUCCCCGUCCCUUGGGGGCACGGUGUCUGGGGGAUGCCCCGGGUUCCCUUCUGCCCCAGAGCUCAUCCUGCAUUCCUCCCUCCUUUCGGGCUCCCAGCAGCCUCUGGGUGCUGCUCACAGGGUCCCCACCCCACAGAUCAGGGCAGACUCUUCACAUCUGUUCUGGCAGCUCCUGCUCUGUGUCAGACGCGGAUGGACUGGGGGCUCCAGGAGGCUCGGGCUUGAGGGCAAACGAGCUGGUCCUGAGGAGGCCUGGGCUGGGGCUGUCCACUCAGAGCCCAGCAUUUGCGUGGGAAGGGCCCCUAGAUGCUCCCAUCACCUGCGCCUGAGGGUCAGUGACCCUUCAUCGUCUCCUUCCCCCACGGGGCCCGCGGACAUGCGUGUGAACCCUGCACCUGUGCACAUCCUCCCCCCCAGGCCCCCCAGGGAAGAGGGUGAGUGGCUGGUACAUCAGGGUCCCCCUAUUUCCCCCUGUGCUCAGAGGGGGUCCUUCCCAGUGGCUAGGGGGACCCAGCGGGGGUGGUGGUGUGCGGAGCAGGGAGGGACAAGGGCCGGGUGCAGAGGCGCUGGGGAGGGCUGUGCCUGGGGGCUCCGCUUUGACUGAGGCCCC